rnacentral:misc_RNA from 1 species
AAAUCAAAUGAGACUAUUGGUCUCGUAUUGGGCGUCGCCUCUGGGCGUAGCCUCGAUGCCAUCGGUCUAAUGAGUGGGCGAGUUCCUCUAGGGCGGACCACUCGUGGCCUGACGACUUCUG